GACGAACGCUGGCGGCGUGCUUAACACAUGCAAGUCGAACGGAAAGGCCCUGCUUGCAGGGUGCUCGAGUGGCGAACGGGUGAGUAACACGUGGGUGAUCUGCCCCUUACUUUGGGAUAAGCCUGGGAAACUGGGUCUAAUACUGGAUAGGACCAUGCUGUAGGUGGUGUGGUGGAAAGAUUAGUUUCGGUUAGGGAUGAGCUCGCGGCCUAUCAGCUUGUUGGUGGGGUAAUGGCCUAGCAAGGCGUCGACGGGUAGCCGGCCUGAGAGGGUGGACGGCCACAUUGGGACUGAGAUACGGCCCAGACUCCUACGGGAGGCAGCAGUGGGGAAUAGUGCACAAUGGGCGCAAGCCGGAUGCAGCGACGCCGCGUGGGGGAUGACGGCCUUCGGGUUGUAAACUCCUUUCAGCCAUGACGAAGCCCUUGUGGUGACGGUAGUGGUAGAAGAAGCACCGGCUAACUACGUG
rnacentral:rRNA from 1 species